CAGAACACCCAGGUAAAUUUGAAUUUCAAAUGUAUCAUGAAUCGCUUUUUAAUAUAAGUAUGUGCCAUACAGUACUUGGGACUUACUUAUACUAAAAAAUUAUUCCUUAUUUUUCUGAGAUUCAUAUUUAGCUGGGCAUUCUGUA
rnacentral:miRNA from 10 species